rnacentral:lncRNA from 1 species
UAAGGAUAGACCUGAUCGUGUUGUUUGGACUCCGCUUCGCAGGUCUGAUGGAUCGUAUGCAAGUGAUGAGUCCUUAUCGUCAUCUGCAUCUCAAUCUGCUGUUUCAAGCAUUGAUUCUUCUCAAGGUAGGAACCUUUUUAUUGAUUGACUCAAAUACUUAAAUUGGUAUUCUUUGAUGCACGAUUUAUUGUUGCCAAUUGAAUGCUCAUUUGUAGAAUAAAGAUUCUGUUGUGCAAGGAUGGUUGUCUUGCUAUGUAUCCCAUUGCUGCAUUGACACAGUUGGUGAAAGCUCAUCAUUGAGUUGUUGGUGAAAGCUCAUCACUAUGUUGUUGGUGAGAACGUGUUGAUGUUUAUUCUGAUUUUUGGUUAUAAUGUUCGCAGCAGCUGUGGGAGAUGUCAGAAUUGAUAUACCAAGUUCAAGGAGUGAUGCAAAAGGAUUUGUGACUGGUCGUAACAGUCAUUCUUCAAUGGACAAUGG